AUUGAACGCUGGCGGCAGGCCUAACACAUGCAAGUCGAACGAGAGGCGGACGGGUGAGUAAUGUCUGGGAAACUGCCUGAUGGAGGGGGAUAACUACUGGAAACGGUAGAUAAUACCGCAUAACAUCAGAUGGGCCCAGAUGGGAUUAGCUUGUUGGUGGGGUAACGGCUCACCAAGGCGACGAUCCCUAGCUGGUCUGAGAGGAUGACCAGCCACACUGGAACUGAGACACGGUCCAGACUCCUACGGUAGGCAGCAGUGGGGAAUAUUGCACAAUGGGCGCAAUGCUGAUGCAGCCAUGCCGCGUGUAUGAAGAAGGCCUUCGGGUUGUAAAGUUCUGUCAGCGGGGAGGCGGUACCCGCAGAAGAAGCACCGGCUAACUCCGUGCCAGCAGCCGCGGUAAUAC
rnacentral:rRNA from 1 species